rnacentral:tRNA from 1 species
UCCCUGGUGGUCCAGGGGCUAAGACUCCACGCUCCUAAUGCAGGUGGCCCAGGUUCUAUUCCUGGUUGGGGAA